rnacentral:rRNA from 1 species
GAUGAACGCUGGCGGCGUGCCUAAUACAUGCAAGUCGAGCGAACGGACGAGAAGCUUGCUUCUCUGAUGUUAGCGGCGGACGGGUGAGUAACACGUGGAUAACCUACCUAUAAGACUGGGAUAACUUCGGGAAACCGGAGCUAAUACCGGAUAAUAUUUUGAACCGCAUGGUUCAAAAGUGAAAGACGGUCUUGCUGUCACUUAUAGAUGGAUCCGCGCUGCAUUAGCUAGUUGGUAAGGUAACGGCUUACCAAGGCAACGAUGCAUAGCCGACCUGAGAGGGUGAUCGGACAGACUGGAACUGAGACACGGUCCAGACUCCUACGGGAGGCAGCAGUAGGGAAUCUUCCGCAAUGGGCGAAAGCCUGACGGAGCAACGCCGCGUGAGUGAUGAAGGUCUUCGGAUCGUAAAACUCUGUUAUUAGGGAAGAACAUAUGUGUAAGUAACUGUGCACAUCUUGACGGUACCUAAUCAGAAAGCCACGGCUAACUACGUG